rnacentral:rRNA from 1 species
CGGACGGGUGAGUAAUGUCUGGGAAACUGCCCGAUGGAGGGGGAUAACUACUGGAAACGGUAGCUAAUACCGCAUAACGUCGCAAGACCAAAGAGGGGACCUUAGGGCCUCUUGCCAUCGGAUGUGCCCAGAUGGGAUUAGCUAGUAGGUGGGGCAAUGGCUCACCUAGGCGACGAUCCCUAGCUGGUCUGAGAGGAUGACCAGCCACACUGGAACUGAGACACGGUCCAG